rnacentral:lncRNA from 1 species
AUUUGAUUGGAGAAUAAUUAAAUAUUCAUAAUAUCUAUGAGAGAAGAUUUUGACUAGAUUUGAUCUAGCUGUAUAAGUAUGAAUAUUUAAUUAUAAAAAUGUAUUGGUGAUAGAAAAAUCUUAUUAGAUGAGAUUUUAGUAAAAAGGGUUAUAUAGGUAUAUAUGUAUAUAUAGAUGUUAGUUUAAAAAAAAAAAAAGACAUACG